rfam:Ictidomys tridecemlineatus contig031045, whole genome shotgun sequence.
GGGGGUGUGGCUCAGUGGUAGAGCGCUCACCUGGAAUGCAUGAGGUCCUGGGUUCGAUCCUCAGCACCACAC